rnacentral:rRNA from 1 species
GACGAACCGUGCGAACGUUAUUCGGAAUCACUGGGCUUAAAGCGCGUGUAGGCGGGCCGGCACGUCGGUCGCUGAAAUCCCCCGGCUCAACCGGGGAACGGGCGCCGAAACGACCGGCCUGGAGGGGGGUAGGGGGAGCCGGAACUCACGGUGGAGCGGUGAAAUGCGUUGAGAUCGUGAGGAACGCCCGCGGCGAAAGCGGGCUCCUGGGCCCCGCCUGACGCUGAGACGCGAAAGCCAGGGGAGCGAACGGG